CGAACGAUGAUGCCCACUUGUGGGUGGAUUAGUGGCGAACGGGUGAGUAACACGUGAGUAACCUGCCCUUGACUCUGGGAUAAGCCUGGGAAACUGGGUCUAAUACCGGAUAUGACCUUCCAUCGCAUGGUGGUUGGUGGAAAGCUUUUGUGGUUUUGGAUGGACUCGCGGCCUAUCAGCUUGUUGGUGGGGUAAUGGCCUACCAAGGCGACGACGGGUAGCCGGCCUGAGAGGGUGACCGGCCACACUGGGACUGAGACACGGCCCAGACUCCUACGGGAGGCAGCAGUGGGGAAUAUUGCACAAUGGGCGCAAGCCUGAUGCAGCGACGCCGCGUGAGGGAUGACGGCCUUCGGGUUGUAAACCUCUUUCAGUAGGGAAGAAGCCGCAAGGUGACGGUACCUGCAGAAGAAGCGCCGGCUAACUACGUGCCAGCAGCCGCGGUAAUACGUAGGGCGCAAGCGUUAUCCGGAAUUAUUGGGCGUAAAGAGCUCGUAGGCGGUUUGUCGCGUCUGCCGUGAAAGUCCGGGGCUCAACUCCGGAUCUGCGGUGGGUACGGGCAGACUAGAGUGAUGUAGGGGAGACUGGAAUUCCUGGUGUAGCGGUGAAAUGCGCAGAUAUCAGGAGGAACACCGAUGGCGAAGGCAGGUCUCUGGGCAUUAACUGACGCUGAGGAGCGAAAGCAUGGGGAGCGAAC
rnacentral:rRNA from 1 species